rnacentral:rRNA from 1 species
CGCGACCCCAGGUCAGGCGGGGCCACCCGCUGAAUUUAAGCAUAUAAAUAA